AUUGAACGCUGGCGGCAGGCCUAACACAUGCAAGUCGAGCGGAGCGGCUUACGGGUGAGUAAUGCCUAGGAAUCUGCCUGGUCGUGGGUGAUAACGUCCGGAAACGGUCGCUAAUACCGCAUACUAUCAGAUGAGCCUAGGUCGGAUUAGCUAGUUGGUGGGGUAAAGGCCUACCAAGGCGACGAUCCGUCACUGGUCUGAUAGGAUGAUCAGUCACAAGGGAACGGGGACACGGUCCAGGCUCCUACGUGAGGCAGCAGUGGGGAAUAUUGGAAAAUGGGCGAAAGCCUGAUCCAGCCAUGCCGAGUGUGUGAAGAAGGUCUUCGGAUUGUAAAGAACUUUAAGUUGGGAGGCGUUACCAACAGAAUAAGAACCGGCUAACUUCGAGCCAGCAGCCGCGGUAAUUC
rnacentral:rRNA from 1 species